rnacentral:rRNA from 3 species
CUUUUAACAACGGAUCUCUUGGUUCUCGCAUCGAUGAAGAACGUAGCAAAGUGCGAUAACUAGUGUGAAUUGCAUAUUCAGUGAAUCAUCGAGUCUUUGAACGCAUCUU